rnacentral:rRNA from 1 species
UACAGAGGGUGCAAGCGUUAAUCGGAAUUACUGGGCGUAAAGCGCGCGUAGGUGGUUCAUUAAGUCGGAUGUGAAAUCCCCGGGCUCAACCUGGGAACUGCAUCCGAUACUGGUGAACUAGAGUAGGUGAGAGGGGAGUAGAAUUCCAGGUGUAGCGGUGAAAUGCGUAGAGAUCUGGAGGAAUACCGAUGGCGAAGGCAGCUCCCUGGCAUCAUACUGACACUGAGGUGCGAAAGCGUGGGUAGCAAAC